GUGGGGGGGUUGGAAAACCAGGUAGUGGCGUUGCUUUCGUUAGCUGCGGCGCAGAGCGUGGCCAGCGCAGAGAUGCGGGCUGGCUGCUACAGCACUACAGCACGGUCUCAAGACUGGGAAGCAUGUCAAGGAGAUGAUGGUGCAUCAUCCAUUCCCAUCUAUUGAGACUUCCACUGGAGAUACAGGCACUGCUGUAGCCCGUGCAUCUCAGACAACUCCCUCUAGGGCAGAAGGAGCUAAAGAAGGAGAAACCCUGAAGAGCCACAUGGACAUUCUCCAGCAGGUGAUACAAAAGCUGCCCACAGAAGGCCCACCAGCCCAACAUUCAGCCCUCACACCCACUCCUAAUGAUACCAUGGAUGCUCUUUGGUUAAAAGUAUACAGGAGACAUGCUAAAAAGGCAAAACAACUAGAAAACAUCCCAAUGACAAGAAGUCCUGCUCCAGCCACACCACCGUCAGCUCUGGCACUCCAGCCUGAUCCAGAGCUUUCUGUUGGGUUAUGUGGCUAUCAGUCUCCUCAGCUGAUGGCAGCACUGCAAGAGUUUGGCUCAGUUCUCCAAACUGCUGCUGCAAAAAAGAAAAGCAGGACUCUGGAGCAGCUAAUCAAUGGAUUCAGUGACAUUUUUGGGGAAUGCUUUAAAAUAAUGAAUGUUAAAUACCACAACUAAGCAUGAUGGUCCCAAACCUACCAACAAAAGGGUGGAGAAGGUUGUGUGGGACUAAAAAGGUGGAACACUGAGAAACUCAUCUUGGGUGUGAUUGAAGGAGACAGCAGUAGGGGGGACAAACCAGAUCUUGAUGGAUAGAGAGUGAGAGAAUGGAACAAACCAGACCUCGAUGAGUAGAGAGCAUGGCACAAACCAGAUCUUGAUGGCUAGAGAGUGAGAGAAUGGAACAAACCAGACCUUGAUGAGUAGAGAGCAUGGCACAAACCAGAUCUUGAUGGCUAGAGAGUGAGAGAAUGGAACAAACCAGACCUCGAUGAGUAGAGAGCAUGGCACAAACCAGAUCUUGAUGGAUAGAGAGUGAGAGAAUGGAACAACCAGACCUUGAUGAAUAGAGAGCAUGGCACAAAAUGGAAGAAACCAGAUUUGAUGGGCAAAGAGUAAGAGCAUUGAGCAAGCCACAUCUUGAUGGGCAUGGUGAACUGGCUGGAGUCUCCAAAUUCCUGAAGGACCAGAAGAGUGGAGAAUGUGUAAGAACAACCAUUUAUCUUUAAGGCUUCCACCAUCUCUAUCUCUCUGUCCAUGAGGUGUAGGAGAGCUCUCAGGUAAACCAGUAAAACCAAACUUUGAUUAACUUUAUGAUCUCAGUCCUCAAUUCAACCCAGAUCUGGAGAGUUCUGCUGAGAAGACAAGUCCAGCUUUGCAGAAAAGACUCUAACAAAUAGUUAAAUAUCAAUAUCUGAAUAUGUUCUUCUCCUGAGGUUCAAAGGAUCAAUUUCCAGUUUAGUCCCUCACCCAAAGCAGACAGAACUGUGCUCAUCCCAGUAAUUAAAAGACAGUUUUUCAAA